rnacentral:rRNA from 1 species
UACGUAGGUGGCAAGCGUUGUCCGGAUUUACUGGGCGUAAAGGGCGUGCAGGCGGUCUGUUAAGUUCAGGGUGAAAGCUCCCGGCUCAACUGGGAGAGGUCCUUGGAUACUGGCAGACUUGAGGGAGGUAGAGGAGAGUGGAAUUCCCGGUGUAGUGGUGAAAUGCGUAGAUAUCGGGAGGAACACCAGUGGCGAAGGCGACUACCUGGCCUGUUCUUGACGCUGAGGCGCGAAAGCUAGGGGAGCAAACGGGG